UUUUAUGGAGAGUUUGAUCCUGGCUCAGGAUGAACGCUGGCGGCGUGCCUAAUACAUGCAAGUCGAGCGAACAGAUAAGGAGCUUGCUCCUUUGACGUUAGCGGCGGACGGGUGAGUAACACGUGGGUAACCUACCUA
rnacentral:rRNA from 1 species